GACGAACGCUGGCGGCAUGCCUAAUACAUGCAAGUCGAGUGAACAGAUGAAGUGCUUGCACUUCUGACGUUAGCGGCGAACGGGUGAGUAACACGUAAGGAUUCUACCUAUAAGCGGGGGAUACCAUUCGGAGCCGGGUGCUAAUACCGCAUAAUAUCUUCUUCCGCAUGGUAGAGGAUUGAAAGACGGCUCUGAUGUCACUUUUAGAUGACCUUGCGGUGCAUUAGUUAGUUGGUGGGGUAAUGGCCUACCAAGACAAUGAUGCAUAGCCGACCUGAGAGCUUGAUCAGCCGCAUUGGGACUGAGACACGGCCCAUACUCCUACGGGAGGCAACAGUAGGGAAUCUUCCGCAAUCGGCGAAAGCCUGACGGAGCAAUGCCGCGUGAGUGAAGAAGGCCUUCUGGUCGUAAAACUCUGUUAUAAUAGAAGAACAAAUUGUAGAGUAACUGCUGCAGUCUUUACGGUAUGUUAUCAGAAAGCCACGGCUAACUACGUGCCAGCCGCCGCAGUAA
rnacentral:rRNA from 1 species